GUGCUCACUUCAGCAGCACAUAUAUUAAAACUGGAACAAUACAGAGAAGAUUUGCACGGCCCCUGUGCAAGGGUGACAGGUAAAUUUGUGAAGCAUUCCAUAUUUUU
rnacentral:snRNA from 1 species